AUUGAACGCUGGCGGCAGGCCUAACACAUGCAAGUCGAGCGGCAGCGACUUAACUGAACCUUCGGGGAACGUUAAGGGGCGGCGAGCGGCGGACGGGUGAGUAAUGCCUGGGAAUAUGCCUCAGUGUGGGGGAUAACUAUUGGAAACGAUAGCUAAUACCGCAUAAUCUCCGAUCUUUUACGAGAUGGGAGCAAAGCGGGGGACCUUCGGGCCUCGCGCGCUGAGAUUAGCCCAGGUGGGAUUAGCUUGUUGGUGAGGUAAUGGCUCACCAAGGCAACGAUCCCUAGCUGGUCUGAGAGGAUGAUCAGCCACACUGGAACUGAGACACGGUCCAGACUCCUACGGGAGGCAGCAGUGGGGAAUAUUGCACAAUGGGGGAAACCCUGAUGCAGCCAUGCCGCGUGUGUGAAGAAGGCCUUCGGGUUGUAAAGCACUUUCAGUAGGGAGGAAGGUAGUGUAGUUAACACCUGCAUUAUUUGACGUUACCUACAGAAGAAGCACCGGCUAACUCCGUGCCAGCAGCCGCGGUAAUACGGAGGGUGCGAGCGUUAAUCGGAAUUACUGGGCGUAAAGCGCAUGCAGGCGGCCUGUUAAGUCAGAUGUGAAAGCCCGGGGCUUAACCUCGGAAUUGCAUUUGAAACUGGCAGGCUAGAGUCUUGUAGAGGGGGGUAGAAUUUCAGGUGUAGCGGUGAAAUGCGUAGAGAUCUGAAGGAAUACCAGUGGCGAAGGCGGCCCCCUGGACAAAGACUGACGCUCAGAUGCGAAAGCGUGGGGAGCAAACAGG
rnacentral:rRNA from 1 species